UAGCUUGAUUAUAACAGAUGCCUGAAAGGGUGAAGCCAUAUAUUGCUGACGGCACUCUGCUUUUGGAACCUGACAAGAUCAAAUGGAAGCCUGCAAACCUGAGUGGCCUUGCCCUGAGACAUUUUCAUAUGAUGUGAUGAUGGACUGCAUAGUUAUUAAUGACUGAAUGCGAUUCUAGUAAUGUGCCAGUAUCUUUUGACCUUUACAAUUGUUUUGCUAUAAAGGACCCAUGUUUGAGGACUGGAG